rnacentral:rRNA from 1 species
UGGGUAAUAUUGGACAAUGGGCGCAAGCCUGAUCCAGCAAUGCCGCGUGAGUGAUGAAGGCCUUAGGGUUGUAAAGCUCUUUCGCACGCGACGAUGAUGACGGUAGCGUGAGAAGAAUCCCCGGCUAACUUCGUGCCAGCAGCCGCGGUAAUACGAAGGGGGCUAGCGUUGUUCGGAAUUACUGGGCGUAAAGGGCGCGUAGGCGGCCUGUUAAGUUAGGAGGGAAAGCCCCGGGCACAACCUGGGAAUUGCUCUUAAUACUGGCAGGCUUGAGUUCCGGAGAGGAUGGUGGAAUUCCCAGUGUAGAGGUGAAAUUCGUAGAUAUUGGGAAGAACACCGGUGGCGAAGGCGGCCAUCUGGACGGACACUGACGCUGAGGCGCGAAAGCGUGGUGAGCAAACA